GACGUAGGGCGCAAGCGUUGUCCGGAUUUAUUGGGCGUAAAGAGCUCGUAGGCGGCCUGUCGCGUCGACCGUGAAAACCCGCAGCUCAACUGCGGGCUUGCGGUCGAUACGGGCAGGCUGGAGUUCGGUAGGGGAGACUGGAAUUCCUGGUGUAGCGGUGAAAUGCGCAGAUAUCAGGAGGAACACCGGUGGCGAAGGCGGGUCUCUGGGCCGAAACUGACGCUGAGGAGCAAAAGCGUGGGGAGCAAACAGG
rnacentral:rRNA from 1 species